rnacentral:rRNA from 1 species
GCCCUUUGUACACACCGCCCGUCGCUCCUGCCAAUGGGUGGGGUGGUAAGAAGGUGGAAUGGACCACGAACGUAGUGUCUCUGAUCUCCUUCGAGCUAUGUCAUCUAGAGGAAGGAGAAGUCGUAACAAGGUUUCCGUAGGUGAACCUGCGGAAGGAUCACCGGACCACAUCGAUCCCUGCACCCGCGCUCUUCGCGGUUACUCUCUGAAUAUAUCUUCCAUCCUCCCAGCAUGGUGGGUGACCCCAUCAUUCCCGUAAACCAAAGCCUUGCUGACGGAUGUCUAGGCUCUUGCGUCGAUGAAGAACGUAGCAACCAGCGAUAUACGAUGAUAGGAGCGCUCUCGUGAAUCAUCGGAUCUUCGAACGCAUACAGUGCUCAGUAAGUACCUCGGGAAGGGGUGAGCAUGCUUAGCGCAGUGACGACGCAAAUCGGAUGUUACCCCGGGGAUCCCCCGGUAACGCUCUGUCUACCACGCCUACGCGUGCUAGAUGUAACACCAGUCCUCACGGAGGCAUCGGGGUUGUGUGCGAUCCGGGCAUCUCGACCAACCCGUUGCACGUCCUGCGCUAGAGUAAGAGUACCCGCUGAACUUAAGCAUAUCAAU